UAGGGAAUCUUCGGCAAUGGGCGAAAGCCUGACCGAGCAACGCCGCGUGAAUGAAGAAGGCCCUCGGGUUGUAAAAUUCUGUUAUACGGGAAGAAAGGUGAUAGGAGGAAAUGACUAUCAAUUGAUGGUACCUUACGAGAAAGCCACGGCUAACUACGUGCCAGCAGCCGCGGUAAUACGUCGGUGGCAAGCGCUAUCCGGAAUUAUUGGGUGUAAAGAGCGCGCAGGUGGGUAAUUAAGUCUGAAGUGAAAGCCCACGGCUUAACCUUGGGAGGUCAUUUGAAACUGGUUGACUUUGGUGCAGAAGAGGGAAGUGGAAUUCCAGGUUUAGCAGUGAAAAGCGUAGGGUUAUGGGGGGACACCAGUGGCGGAGGCGGCUUCCUGGUCUGCAACUGACACUGGGGCGCGAAAGCGUUGGGAACAAACAAG
rnacentral:rRNA from 1 species